GCACUGCUGAGGAGUCCAACAAUAGAACGAAACGGCCAUCCAGUGC
rfam:Schistosoma rodhaini strain Burundi genome assembly, scaffold: SROB_scaffold0015786